rnacentral:rRNA from 1 species
GACGAACGCUGGCGGCGUGCUUAACACAUGCAAGUCGAACGGAAAGGCCCUGCUUUUGUUGGGUGCUCGAGUGGCGAACGGGUGAGUAACACGUGAGUAACCUGCCCUUGACUUUGGGAUAACUUCAGGAAACUGGGGCUAAUACCGGAUAGGAUCUCCUGCUGCAUGGUGGGGGUUGGAAAGUUUCGGCGGUUGGGGAUGGACUCGCGGCUUAUCAGCUUGUUGGUGGGGUAGUGGCUUACCAAGGGUUUGACGGGUAGCCGGCCUGCGAGGGUGACCGGCCACAUUGGGACUGAGAUACGGCCCAGACUCCUACGGGAGGCAGCAGUGGGGAAUAUUGCACAAUGGGCGGAAGCCUGAUGCAGCAACGCCGCGUGCGGGAUGACGGCCUUCGGGUUGUAAACCGCUUUCGCCUGUGACGAAGCGUGAGUGACGGUAAUGGGUAAAGAAGCACCGGCUAACUACGUG